CUUCGACCAAUCAAAGAAGGCCACCGCGGGGCGGCAAAGAAAGAGCGGAAAAGAAGCCUCACAGCCGCCAUUUUACACAGUAGCAACGAGCGGUACGGGCUGUGCCAACGCAUGCCUGCCUUUAAAGUCGGCUUACUUUUUAGUCCUAUUGGACAUCUUGCAACCACUUAUUAUUGUCAAGUCAAGCGGCAGGAACCGAGUAGCGCUGUCUAACCAGGUAGAAAAAAUGAGUUACGGUAGGCCGCCGCCAGACGUUGAGGGGAUGACCUCCCUCAAAGUGGACAACCUGACCUACCGCACCUCGCCGGAGACCCUCCGUCGGGUGUUCGAGAAGUACGGGCGGGUGGGCGACGUCUACAUCCCCCGGGACAGGUACACCAAGGAGAGCCGCGGCUUCGCCUUCGUGCGCUUCCACGACAAGCGCGACGCCGAGGACGCGAUGGACGCCAUGGACGGCGCGCUGCUCGACGGCCGGGAGCUCCGCGUGCAGAUGGCCCGCUACGGCCGGCCGCCGGACUCCAUGUACAGCCGCAGGGGAGCACCGCCGCGCAGAUACGGAGGUCGCUCAGCAAGCCCCCGUCGGCGUAGGCGCAGUCGUUCCAAGAGCAGGAGCCGCUCUCGAUCCAGGAGUCGCCGUCGCUACAGCCGCUCCAGGUCCCGCUCCUACUCCAGGUCGCGGUCCAGGUCUAAAUCUAAGUCCAAGUCCAAGUCCAGGACUCCACGCAGGAGCAAGUCAAAGUCCCCAUCUAGGUCCCGGUCUAAGUCGAGGAGCCAUACCCCGCCUUCCAACCGAGGGUCCAGAUCCAGGUCAAAAUCCAAGAGCCGGCCCAAGUCUCCAGAGGACUUCGAAGCAAUCCCCUAAGUUGGACGCAGCACGACGGUAUUUGAGGGGAUGGGUGGAACAUAUUUGACAAAUGCACAUGUUCUGUUUUUUGCUGACUUGGUGUUGCCGGUGUGACUUUCACAUGUGCAACCAAGUCAGCAUAUUUAGAAACGGUAAAUACAAUUUGGCUCUCAAUAGCGUGUGCUGUAGUGUAAAACGCACACGAUGCAACAAAGGGCUUGCCUUGCUGCGAGCCGAUGUUGCCCAUAAGCAUCAAAAAUUGGGGGUAAUGUGAGUGUAUAUGGGUGUGAUUCACUCAAACGUUCACCUAAAUGUGGAAUUCUUUCCUCCAAGCUGCUGAGUCCUGUUUGCAAAGAGAGGAGAAGGAGAUGGGGGUGUGGCAGUAUGAGAGCAGUUGUAGUGUGUGGCCCGCCCAUGUGACCUGCCUGUUGCUGAGGGCGACGGCAGUUGCUAAGGAGCUGGUCACCCAGGCAACGGUUGGUUGCUCAGGAGCAGGUCGUCAUGGCGGUGGUGCGGGGCUGUCAGUUGGUGUUUGAGGUGGUGUGGUGAGGUACGUUCACGGGGAUCGCGGGCGGACGCGCUCGGCCCGCCUGUGUGUUCCCUUCCGCCUCUCACAAGGGAAACGCACCGCAGCCUAAGGUUUGUUUUCUAAUAUGCCCGCGUGCAAAGAGCUAGUCUUGUGGUUCCAUGGAAGGUGCGUAACCAGUAAGGACAAUACAGGACAUGUUAGGUGUAAGACUUGAUUUAUUUAGAGAAUGCACACAAUAGGAAAUAAUGCUGCGUCUUUGUGUGCUGCCCUUGCUGAUUGUGCUGUGUCUUAUUUUUCCAGAUUUCAGAUGAAUGGUGGUUUGCCAAGGACGUCAGGAAGAGUCUCAAUGAUCAAGGGGACUCCACUGUUGCCACUGAAUGCAGACUGAAAGGCGCAGUUGUGUAGCAGUUGAGUAAUGCUGGUUAGCUGUUAAGGUGCAGUGCGGUGGUGACAUGGUGUGGCGUGUUGCGGUGCUGAGUGCCCGGCACUGUUCCGGGGCUCGACCCUCCGCUGCGGUUUGUAAGCUCACAAGUGUGGCAGAUCAUCCCCCCCUCCCUUCCCUUCUCUCCUGGUCUCGUUCCCUCUGACUACCCUCUUGUGUCGUUCCUUACUCUCCCCCCCUGUCUGGUUCAUCAUUGGGUUUUUGGGACGUGGGUCCAGUGUGGCUCACAUGGAAGGGUUGACUUAAAAAAAAGAAAAAAAAAGCCAGUUUGGGCUGCCUCAUCACAUCUUUUGUGCAACGCAUUCCCCUGUUAACCUCUAAUUCUGUGUUUACUUCAGGAGAAUGCAAAUAAACAUUUUAGUUUGAAAU